rnacentral:rRNA from 1 species
GACGUAGGGCGCGAGCGUUGUCCGGAUUUAUUGGGCGUAAAGAGCUCGUAGGCGGCUUGUUGCGUCGACUGUGAAAACCCGCGGCUCAACCGUGUGGUCUGCAGUCGAUACGGGCAGGCUGGAGUUCGGUAGGGGAGAGUGGAAUUCCCGGUGUAGCGGUGAAAUGCGCAGAUAUCGGGAAGAACACCCGUGGCGAAGGCGGCUCUCUGGGACGGUACUGACGCUGAGACGCGAAAGCGUGGGGAGCGAACAGG